rnacentral:piRNA from 1 species
UCUUUGACAUUACCAGAGCACCUCGGGCCUU